GAUUUUAAAUAAAAAUUAACGAUGUGACAUACUGUAACAUAUUACUUUGCACACUGUAAAAAUUGCAUAUUUUUCGAUUUUCUGUCAAGAUUUCACAAUUUAUGGCAUAAAAUUGUCUGGUGUUUUGUUGUAUUUAUAUGAAAGUUCUCUAAAUACGUCGGACGUACGAAAUUUGAAUAGUUGAACAAUUUCAACAUUGACAAUUGAAAAAUUUUAUUUUUUUUGUGUUAAAAGUAAAAACAGAUUUAAAGAUAAGCACCCGGCAUAUUCGGGUAAUACGGACGUACAAAAAAUUUUACCACAGUGGGGAAGUUGAAUAUUUGUGUACGGUACGUCGAAUUUUAGAUGCGGGAAAAAAUAUAAAUUUAUAUAAAUUAGGCACUAAAUUACAAUACAAUAAAUAAGUAAAAACAUUAAGUUCGGCCGGGCCGAACUGCUAAUACCCUCCACCAUUGGGUAAAGAAAAUAUUUUUGUAUAAAAGUAUCUAGAUUCAAACGUAUUCCACUUUAAAAUACAAAUACCAGUAAGACCGUUUGGUUAAUGCAGUUAAACUUUUCAAAAGCCAUAAAGUGAGUGAAGACGUCAGACAAUUUUAUACUACAAGGAUUGUUAUAUAUUGCAAGUCAUAAAAACCAAAUUUGAAACAAUUUCGUGGGUAAAUGAGAAAUGUGGCUACCGUUAUAUUUGCGAACCUAGACAUUUUAUGUUCUUCCACCGCAUCUGAAACUCAUUACGAACUACAAAUAUUUUUUAGAAAAAUCCGUGGAAAAUGUGGAAAAAAUCAUCAAAAUACUGGAUAUCAGGAGGAUGGCGGCUAUACCAAAAUAUAUUUCAUUUUCAAUACCAACCAUGCUAGACAAAAUACAAACUAUUGUGCCAAAUAUUAAAGCUCUGUGUCAAAUAACGUGGGCUGUGUCGUGAUUUCAACAGACAGACAGACAAAAUGACAAAGUUAAUAUGCCCUCCAUUUCAAAGUGCAGGGUAUAAUAAAAACUAUGCAAUUUUCGAGUGUUAUAAAAUACUUUACACAAUGUGAUUUGUCCAUUUGUUUUUCCAGAAAAUCGUCGAUGAACGGUACUUUAUCGUUAGUUAAGCUUUGUAUUGCUCUCUUUUACAGUUUUACAAGAACUUUUAUCGCAAAUUUUCGUUGUAUCGAUAAAAAUAAAGUGCUUUACGAAACGGGGUUCAAUAGUUUACUUUGGAGGAUUUUUCUAAACAAAAUGCAGCAUCCUAGGAAAUAACAAGUAAAAAAGCAGUAAGUUCGGCCGGGCUUUGAGGGCUAUACGAUAUGUAGCUACAAUAACCAGAAUAUCGGGGGUACCGUUAUAUGGGGAAUAUACGAUAUCGUGGACUUAUAUGGAUAUUUCUAUUUCAGGGGAAAGUACUUAGAAUGAACUUCUUGUGAGGAUUUUCAGACAAUUCCAUUGAAAAAUGUGCACAAAAUCAUCAAAAUACCUAAUAUUCGAGAGUUCCGUCAUAUGGGGGCUAUACGAAGACGUGGACCUGCGUCCGAAAUUUUUAAGCAUAAGCUGUAGUACACAUUACAAUCUUCGAAUACAUAAUUUGAAAUGAUA